UUUUUUUAGUUCAAUUAUUCCCCAAGUCCCUGUACUCUUCCGACUUUUGAAUUGAGAACACAUAUUCAAGUUCACUGGAAAUCAAUUAACAGUGUUAUCCAUUGGUCUUCUAUUUUUAAGUUAGACAAGAAGAGAGACAAAAAUCCUGGAAUUAUAAUCUAAGAUACUUGAUGUUAAAAGUCCAUACGAUCCAA